rnacentral:rRNA from 1 species
GGCGAACGGGUGAGUAACACGUGAGUAAUCUGCCCUGGACUUCGGGAUAGCCACCGGAAACGGUGAUUAAUACCGGAUACGACGACUCCACGCAUGUGGUGGUCGUGGAAAGUUUUUCGGUUCAGGAUGUGCUCGCGGCCUAUCAGCUUGAUGGUGGGGUAAUGGCCUACCAUGGCUUCGACGGGUAGCCGGCCUGAGAGGGUGACCGGCCACACUGGGACUGAGACACGGCCCAGACUCCUACGGGAGGCAGCAGUGGGGAAUAUUGGACAAUGGGCGGAAGCCUGAUCCAGCAACGCCGCGUGAGGGAUGACGGCCUUCGGGUUGUAAACCUCUUUCAGUACCGACGAAGCGAAAGUGACGGUAGGUACAGAAGAAGCACCGGCCAACUACGUGCCAGCAGCCGCGGUAAUACGUAGGGUGCGAGCGUUGUCCGGAAUUAUUGGGCGUAAAGGGCUCGUAGGCGGUUUGUCGCGUCGGGAGUGAAAACACUGGGCUUAACUCAGUGCUUGCUUCCGAUACGGGCAGACUAGAGGUAUGCAGGGGAGAACGGAAUUCCUGGUGUAGCGGUGAAAUGCGCAGAUAUCAGGAGGAACACCGGUGGCGAAGGCGGUUCUCUGGGCAUUACCUGACGCUGAGGA